UACGAAAGGGGCUAGCGUUGUUCGGAAUUACUGGGCGUAAAGCGCACGUAGGCGGCCUUGUAAGUUGGGGGUGAAAUCCCGGAGCUCAACUCCGGAACUGCCUCCAAAACUACAAAGCUCGAGGAUGUGAGAGGAGAGUGGAAUUCCGAGUGUAGAGGUGAAAUUCGUAGAUAUUCGGAAGAACACCAGUGGCGAGGGCGACUCUCUGGCAAAUUUCUGACGCUGAGGUGCGAAAGCGUGGCGAGCAAACAGG
rnacentral:rRNA from 1 species